UGGGGAAUAUUGGACAAUGGGCGAAAGCCUGAUCCAGCCAUGCCGCGUGAGUGACGAAGGCCUUAGGGUUGUAAAACUCUUUCGUCGGGGACGAUAAUGACGGUACCCGAAGAAGAAGCUCCGGCUAACUUCGUGCCAGCAGCCGCGGUAAUACGAAGGGAGCUAGCGUUGUUCGGAAUCACUGGGCGUAAAGCGCACGUAGGCGGAUAGUUAAGUCAGGGGUGAAAUCCCAAGGCUCAACCUUGGAACUGCCUUUGAUACUGGAAGUCUCGAGAUCGGGAGAGGUGAGUGGAAUUCCUAGUGUAGAGGUGAAAUUCGUAGACAUUAGGAAGAACACCAGUGGCGAAGGCGGCUCACUGGCCCGAUACUGACGCUGAGGUGCGAAAGCGUGGGGAGCAAACAGGAUUAGAUACCCCCGUAGUCCCUGAGCGGGCUGGCAAGGCGCAU
rnacentral:rRNA from 1 species